rnacentral:rRNA from 1 species
CCCGCACAAGCGGUGGAGCAUGUGUUUAAUUCGAAGCAACGCGAAGAACCUUACCAGGUCUUGACAUCCCGAUGCUAUUUCUAGAGAUAGAAAGUUACUUCGGUACAUCGGUGACAGGUGGUGCAUGGUUGUCGUCAGCUCGUGUCGUGAGAUGUUGGGUUAAGUCCCGCAACGAGCGCAACCCCUAUUGUUAGUUGCCAUCAUUCAGUUGGGCACUCUAGCGAGACUGCCGGUAAUAAACCGGAGGAAGGUGGGGAUGACGUCAAAUCAUCAUGCCCCUUAUGACCUGGGCUACACACGUGCUACAAUGGUUGGUACAACGAGUUGCGAGUCGGUGACGGUGAGCUAAUCUCUUAAAGCCAAUCUCAGUUCGGAUUGUAGGCUGCAACUCGCCUACAUGAAGUCGGAAUCGCUAGUAAUCGCGGAUCAGCACGCCGCGGUGAAUACGUUCCCGGGCCUU